rnacentral:rRNA from 1 species
UGUAAGUAUAAAUAAUUUUACUUUGAAACUGCGAAUGGCUCAUUAUAUCAGUUAUAGUUUAUUAGAAAUAUUUUACUACUUGGAUAACCGUAGUAAUUCUAGGGCUAAUACAUGAGUAAAACCUCAACUUCGGAAGAGGUGUGUUUAUUAGUAUGAAAACCAUAUAUCUUCGGAUAUAAUAGUGAGUAAUAAUAACCUUUCAUAUCGUAUGUCGUAAGAUAACGAUAGUUCUUUCAAGUUUCUGCCCUAUCAGCUUUCGAUGGUAGUAUAUGGGACUACCAUG